UGGGGAAUAUUGCACAAUGGAGGGAACUCUGAUGCAGCGACGCCGCGUGAGUGAUGAAGGAAUUCGUUUCGUAAAACUCUGUUCUAUGGGAAGAAAAGGACUGUACCAUAGGAGAAAGCUCCGGCUAAAUACGUGCCAGCAGCCGCGGUAAUACGUAUGGAGCUAGCGUUGUCCGGAAUUAUUGGGCGUAAAGGGUGCGCAGGCGGCUUUACAAGUUGGAUGUGAAAUAUUGUGGCUCAACCACAAACGUGCAUCCAAAACUGCAAAGCUUGAGUUAAGGAGAGGUAAGUGGAAUUCCUGGUGUAGCGGUGGAAUGCGUAGAUAUCAGGAGGAAUACCGGUGGCGAAGGCGACUUACUGGACUUAAACUGACGCUCAGGCACGAAAGCGUGGGGAGCAAACAGG
rnacentral:rRNA from 1 species